AAUAUUUAUAGAUUUUCGUCUUCUGGUAGUUAAUUUCUCCUUGUUUGUUGAUGUUCAUGGUUUUUCUUAUUAAUCACAACCUGGAUUCUCAAUGUUGUUACUGCCCUUCAUAUCUUCAAAUGUGCAGCAGUUUCUGAUAGCUUUCUCGAAUAUGAGCACUAAUGCAUCCAUCCAAAUUUCAAUUAUGUGCCCAGAUGCGAUGAAAUUCAGUCACCAGUUCAUGCUUCUGCAGAUUAAUUAAUCUUGCUAUAUAUAUGAGGGGGUUGUAUUACUGGUUUUUGCUAGCAAGAUAAUUCCUUCAUGACUAGAGGUAAAUUUUUGUAGUAGGUGAUCUUUGUUCUUUCCUCCUAUGUUUGGUGUCCGGAACCUGAUCAGACUAUUGAAUUAUGUUUAUUGUGGGAAAAAUGGGAAGAAAGGGGAUCUGAGAGGUUAUAUUGGA